rnacentral:rRNA from 1 species
GAUGAACGCUGGCGGCGUGCCUAAUACAUGCAAGUAGAACGCUGAAGGAGGAGCUUGCUCUUCUGGAUGAGUUGCGAACGGGUGAGUAACGCGUAGGUAACCUGCCUGGUAGCGGGGGAUAACUAUUGGAAACGAUAGCUAAUACCGCAUGACAACAGUUAUUGCAUGAUAACUGUUUAAAAGGGGCAACUGCUCCACUACCAGAUGGACCUGCGUUGUAUUAGCUAGUUGGUGAGGUAACGGCUCACCAAGGCGACGAUACAUAGCCGACCUGAGAGGGUGAUCGGCCACACUGGGACUGAGACACGGCCCAGACUCCUACGGGAGGCAGCAGUAGGGAAUCUUCGGCAAUGGACGGAAGUCUGACCGAGCAACGCCGCGUGAGUGAAGAAGGUUUUCGGAUCGUAAAGCUCUGUUGUAAGAGAAGAACGAGUGUGAGGGUGGAAAGUUCACACUGUGACGGUAUCUUACCAGAAAGGGACGGCUAACUACGUG